UACAGAGGUCCCAAGCGUUACUGAGAAUCACUGGGUUUAAAGGGUGCGUAGGUGGUCCGUUAAGUCAGUUGUGAAAUCCCCGGGCUCAACCCGGGAACUGCUUCUGAUACUGGCGGACUUGAGGCCAGUAGGGGUCACUAGAACUGACGGUGGAGCGGUGAAAUGCGUAGAUAUUCGGAAGAGCACCAGUGGCGAAGGCGACACACUGGGCCAUUACUGACGCUGAGGCGCGAAAGCGUGGGGAGCAAACAGG
rnacentral:rRNA from 1 species